rnacentral:lncRNA from 1 species
UUCAAUCAAGUCAAUAACAGUUCAAUUUUGUUGACAUAACAUGUCAUAUGUGUUAACAUCAAUUCUGUUAUUUUUUUAAUACUCUAGAGCUAAUACUUGUUUCCAAUUUUGUAAAAUAUUUCAUUUGGCAAAGCUCACAGGCCCUCGGCACCAAGUCCACUGUGUCUAGGGAGCAAAUGGAUGCUGACUUCAUUCCAUGUCACCCCCAAAAUGCCAAGCUGCUCAGGGAACUGACGGGGUCUGAAGGGGCCACGCAGAACCCCCAGAAGUGGCAGGAAGAGGAUGGGCCAGUUUCUGACCAUCACCGAAGGCAGGCUGCCACAGCAGGAGACACUGGGAAUGCAGGAAAAAGCAGUGAAACUGGACUCAACAAAGUACCGCAAGUUUAAGAGAUGAAUCCCUGCCAUGUGGACUCCAGAACGGGAAAAGAUGCAGAUUCAUUUCAACAAAUAGUUAUUGAGCGCCUCCUAUGAGAAGCCUGUGUGCCGAGUGCUAGAGGGGUACAAAGACAACCAGGACAGGACUGGGAUUCCCAGCCCACACUGCACCCACACCGAACCUAUUGAUGGAACACACAGGUGUGCGUAGCCCCACACCUGCAACCUUGAAGCCGCAUGCACAUGGCUCUGGGCCUAAUCCAUAUGGGCUCCUGCUUUGCCAGGAAGAGCAGGUAAGAGAGGGAAAG